rnacentral:tRNA from 1 species
GCAGUAGUAGUUCAGUGCUAGAAUUCGUCCUUCUACGCGGGAGAUCUGGGUUCAAUUCCCAGCCAAUGUA